AGCAGCCCCCCCCCUCCUUUUUUUUUGUCAUGCGUGCUCUUGGUUGCAUCCUGACCUCUACCUCAGGCUGACCCUUUGGAGGGGCAUGGGGGGGGGGGAAGAGAAGAGAGGAAGGGCGGGAGAUGGGAGACUUCUGCAGACACAGCCAUUAUGCAUCAAGGUGUGCGGCAAGCUGAGCAUGGAAGGUUGCCUCUCCUUAACUCCUGCUUCAACCUUCUAUUCUGCCUGUGCUCUUCAGUGCUCUCUCUCUCUAGCGCUGUGUCUUAGCCUUAGCUAGAUUGGCUCUAAGGAGAAGGCUGACGGCUGCAGCAUGAAGCGCAUUAUUACCUUGUGAUUCCAUGACCCUCCUCUAUGCAUCCCUAACUCUCGAAAGCUGAUUCAGCUUUCAGCUAGUGCUCUGGUGACUCCACUGCUGCAACAGAAUCUUCUAACUGGUAUGUUACAGGCAUCUUCAGCUGUCAUGGAGUUCAACUGGAUGACAUUUAAAUUUUUUUUUAAAGCCAACCCCCAAGCCCCAAAAGGCAUGUCAUUUCUUUCCGGGGUUUCGUAUCUGCAAGGUAGUGUUUCACUUACAAUGACCUGCAAAGGAAAAAUCUCUGGAGUCUCUAGACCCACUGUUCAGACCUAGCAGCUAAGAAGCUUAAAUAAAUCCCGACGGCCUGAAAACGAAGCUGUUUGAACCAGGGCAGCAACCAGACGAGGUCCAGGCGGCUGUGAAGGAAAGAGUCCUGAGGAAUCGCCCUUUUUGCUUUCCAUGAGCCAUGAGGCCAAAUGCUUUGCUAAAGCUGGUAAAAUGGAACCAAAUCAACUGUUCAAUGGAUUUGGUCCCCUUCAACCAGCUGUAGCUGUGCAUUGAUCACUCAGACGCAGCUCGAAGGAUUAAGUACUUGAACUGGACCAAGACAACUAAGGUAGCAGAAGACAAAUGGCCACCUGGACCCUGUCGAUAAGGAAAUGAUGAUGACUGGCGCCUGCAGAUCUAUCCCCCUGACUCUAAACUGGUGGGCUGAACCUGAGUCAUUAUGCGGUUGCCAGUCAAUUCCGUGUAACCGAGACCCCCUCGAGAUUGAUAAUCUCAAUCUUCCCACUGUAUUGAUCUGAGCUGUAAUUCAGAACUGUAUAUUUGAACUGCAAAUGCUGCAUUUUCACAUGUAUGCACUGAAGCCUUUCAUAGAGCCCCAUGCCUUGAUGGUCCAUCUAUUGUGAUGAUGAAUAAACAUUUUGAUGCUAA